UACAGAGGUCUCAAGCGUUGUUCGGAUUCAUUGGGCGUAAAGGGUGCGUAGGUGGCGGUGUAAGUUUGGUGUGAAAUUUUGGGGCUCAACCUCAAAACUGCAUUGAAUACUGCAUUGCUAGAGGAUUGUAGAGGAGAGUGGAAUUCACGGUGUAGCAGUGAAAUGCGUAGAUAUCGUGAGGAAGACCAGUUGCGAAGGCGACUCUCUGGGCAAUUCCUGACACUGAGGCACGAAGGCCAGGGGAGCAAACGGG
rnacentral:rRNA from 1 species